rnacentral:rRNA from 1 species
GACGAACGCUGGCGGCGUGCUUAACACAUGCAAGUCGAACGGAAAGGCCCUGCUUUUGUGGGGUGCUCGAGUGGCGAACGGGUGAGUAACACGUGAGUAACCUGCCCUUGACUUUGGGAUAACUUCAGGAAACUGGGGCUAAUACCGGAUAGGAGCUCCUGCUGCAUGGUGGGGGUUGGAAAGUUUCGGCGGUUGGGGAUGGACUCGCGGCUUAUCAGCUUGUUGGUGGGGUAGUGGCUUACCAAGGCUUUGACGGGUAGCCGGCCUGAGAGGGUGACCGGCCACAUUGGGACUGAGAGACGGCCCAGACUCCUACGGGAGGCAGCAGUGGGGAAUAUUGCACAAUGGGCGGAAGCCUGAUGCGGCAACGCCGCGUGCGGAAUGACGGCCUUCGGGUUGUAAACCGCUUUCGCCUGUGACGAAGCGUGAGUGACGGUAAUGGGUAAAGAAGCACCGGCUAACUACGUG